rnacentral:rRNA from 1 species
UACGUAGGGUGCGAGCGUUAAUCGGAAUUACUGGGCGUAAAGCGUGCGCAGGCGGUGAUGUAAGACAGAUGUGAAAUCCCCGGGCUCAACCUGGGAACUGCAUUUGUGACUGCAUAGCUAGAGUACGGUAGAGGGGGAUGGAAUUCCGCGUGUAGCAGUGAAAUGCGUAGAUAUGCGGAGGAACACCGAUGGCGAAGGCAAUCCCCUGGACCUGUACUGACGCUCACGCACGAAAGCGUGGGGAGCAAACAGG